rnacentral:rRNA from 1 species
GACGAACGCUGGCGGCGUGCUUAACACAUGCAAGUCGAACGGUGAAGCGCCUUCCUUUUUGGUGGGUGUGGAUGAGUGGCGAACGGGUGAGUAACACGUGAGUAACCUGCCCCCUUCUUCUGGAUAACCGCAUGAAAGUGUGGCUAAUACGGGAUAUUCUGGGUCUGUCGCAUGAUGGGUCUGGGAAAGAUAUUGUUUCGGUGGGGGAUGGGCUCGCGGCCUAUCAGCUUGUUGGUGGGGUGAUGGCCUACCAAGGCGGUGACGGGUAGCCGGCCUGAGAGGGUGGACGGUCACACUGGGACUGAGACACGGCCCAGCCUCCUACGGGGGGCAGCAGUGGGGAAUAUUGCACAAUGGGCGCAAGCCUGAUGCAGCGACGCCGCGUGAGGGAUGGAGGCCUUCGGGUUGUGAACCUCUUUCGCCAGUGAAGCAGGCCUGCCUCGUUUGUGGGUGGGUUGACGGUAGCUGGAUAAGAAGCGCCGGCUAACUACGUG